UGUCUUGAGAUGUUUUGUUUCUUUGUACAGACAGCCGACCUGUUGUCCUUUAUUGUUGGUAUGGAAGCUCCUAUUAGCAGUUACAGUGCAAACCUUCCAGCCAUUUUGGAAUUAAUUUUGAUUAAUUCUGAGAGGGGAAAAAAGCUGAGAGAAUCGCAGAACAGACAAAGUACAUCUACCAUGUGGCUUGAAUUCAAGACUUAAAGGUUGGUGUCUCAGUGACAAACUCCACCGUGUCAAGAAGCAGAGAGAAAUGUUGUUUUGAGGGUCGUUGUGUGUAUCUAACAACAGAAGGCUUCAGAGCCAGCCAGGCGGGUGUCCAUGCAGCGUUUUGCUCCCAGACCAGCACGCAGGCACCGUGCCCAC